rnacentral:ncRNA from 1 species
UCUUAUCAAGAGCGUUGGAGGGACUGGCCCAUUGAAGACGCAGCAACAGACAUUUUGUACUGUGCUAAUUCCUGUAGCAUCAUUUGCUAAAAGAUGAGA